rnacentral:misc_RNA from 1 species
GAUGAAGAACGUAGUGAAAUGCGAUAAGUAAUGUGAAUUGCAGAAUUCAGUGAAUCAUCGAAUCUUUGAACGCACAUUGCGCCCGCCAGUAUUCUGGCGGGCAUGCCUGUUCGAGCGUCAUUUCAACCAUCAAGCCCCCGGCUUGUGUUGGGGACCUGCGGCUGCCGCAGGCCCUGAAAUGCAGUGGCGGGCUCGCUGUCACUCCGAGCGUAGUAGUUACAUCUCGCUCUGGGCGUGCUGCGGGUUCCGGCCGUUAAAAGCCUUAUUUACCCAAGGUUGACCUCGGAUCAGGUAGGAAGACCCGCUGAACUUAAGCAUAUCAAUAAGCGUAGGA